UAAAUGUACCAUUUGAUGUCGAUUUAGACCAUGAUCUUUAUGCAAAAUUUCAGAUCAUUCGGGCGCUUCAUUUUUCCAGAAUAAUUAUUCAAGUUGUAAAAGAAUUAUCCAAAAUGAAAAGCGUUUAAACACUUUUCACUCAAAUCGGGCUAAAAAAGGCAUAAAAAUACGAUUAUUAAUUUAUUUCAAAGUAUUUCUUAACUAUCUUUGCAAAUAUUUCUGUUUAAAGUGUCCCAGCUCAAUUUCAAAUUCAAAUGUUAUGUUUUAUGCUUUUAAACCUCAGUGGAGUCCCUUUAAUACAACACAAUAAAUCAAUGCAUUUCAGAAAUGGACGACAUUUGUCGUCGAACCUACAUCUGUUGUAUCAGAGGUGGACAUUUGGAUAAUUAUAGGAAGCGUUCUUGGUGCCGUGGCUCUGCUUAUUAUUGUCAUCAUAAUUCUUUGGAAGUGUGGAUUCUUUGCUCGGAAGAAACACAAUGAGGUCCAGCAAUGGAAGCGUGCAAGUUUGUACAACAGAAAGAGUGUCAGAUUGUCAAAUACCGAAAAACAACCUUAUUCUGCAAUUGAGGAAAAAGAAAGUUAAACCACUAGUUAGCAUACACAUUUAUUACAUCAGUUGAAAUAAUUGAAAUAACAUUCUACUUUCUUGAGUGGUUUUGAUCUAAUUUGGAUAAAAUCUUCGUAAAUAAACUGUUGAUAACUUUUUUUGCAAAGAUGACUAUUUCUUGAGCAAAUGCGUUGACUGUCCGCGUGGUUAUAUUAUUGUGUAGUUAUUGGAAAAACUUGAUCAAACUUUACUUUUUAGAACUAACAUAUAUCGCUUCUGAAAAUAUGUUUUGUGUGUAUGUUUUUUCCUUGUAUCUGCGGGAUCAAGUUUUGCCAAAUGAAAGGAUUGCCAAUUAUUGUCAAAUAAUUUUCUUUUCAUAUGUAACUAGUCAUAGUGUUUGAUUGUAUCCCCUCGUCGGCGACUGAGGGAUACCGAUUUGACGUUGUCCGUCCUUACUUUUUCUGACCGGAUUUUCCUUUGUCUGCUCGUAACCGGGGCAUAAAACGCUAACUAUUUCAGUUAUAAACAUUAUUUAAUUCCAUGUGGUGUUUCAGGUUAAUGAGAGGAAAUGAAUUUACCAAGAUCGUUUCUCUUUUUCUUUUUGCCAUUUUUAUUAGUUAUUGCUCUUUCAAUUAUUUAAUGCGUUUUUCGGGGUAUUGGACAUACCAACAUGAAACUUCAUUAAUGUAUAUAUAUCAUAAAAAAGAGAAAUACAGUGCAUCAGAAUAAUCACUUUCAUAAGAAUUAUAUAUGAGUUAUUGCCCUUUGCCAUUCUUUAUACUUUAUUUUUGUGCAUGACUAAAAGGAAUAAAGGAGAUAAACAUAUCUCAUAGACGAAUCAGUGUACAAGAAUAUUUUAUUAUUGUAUAAUUUUGAAUAAUUGCCCUUUGUGUUUUUAUACCGAAAGAUCUUAUUAGGCAUAAAGCAAUGUCGCAUGUAUUUACUUGAAUCUUAAUAGAUAGAUAUGUCACAUCUUAGAAAGCGCAGUUUUAACGAACCACAGUUCUCUGUGUUGUAAAUACCCUUUUUAUUCCUACGUUACUUAAUUUUAGUCUAGGAUAUAGCCAAAAAGGUAUGGGAAAUACAAAUUUGAAAUUUCAAAGCUGGAUUGAGCUCAUUAAAGGGAGCUCAUUUAAACCAUAGCUCUCUUACGUAUUUGUUAAGCUUCUGCCCUUUGUUAUUUUUUACAUUUAGUUAUUGACCUUUGUAAUUUUUCACAUUUAUUCUUUCUCGGGAGCAAAUCUGAAGAGGUAUAAGAGAUUCAUAGAUUGAUAUAUCUCAUUAAAGUAUUGUUAUUGUUUUUCCUUUUACACUAGUUAUUGCACUUUUAAUGAUUGAUUUUCAUAUGCAUUUAUUUCUGAGGCAUUUUUUUUUUAAAUUACUACAAUUCGACAGACAAAAAUUAAUAUGAAUGAUAUUUUAGAAUUGUAAUAGUGAAGUUAAAUAAAACUAUUUUAUUAAUUGAAGCAUGCUAAUAAAUAUAUCACAAUCUGCAAUUAUAGAAAAUCAAAAAUUUAUAUUUAAAUUACGCUUUUUUCCUGGUCCAAUUGGAUUCUUAUUUGAGCAAUAAUAUUGAAAUUUCCUUAAAUACACUUGAGUCCUUGAAUUUGUACAUGUAUUUUAUAUAUAUAUUGUAAAAGAAUAACCAAAAUGUCAAUUUUUUUAAAUUUUUUAAAUAAUGUAUCAAUGCCAUCACAUUUUAAAAUGAUGUCCUUUGUACUAGAUACAGCUAUUUUUUGUAAGCUUUGUAUCAUAAUGAUGCUCUAAAGUAUAUUAAACUAAGAAGCUUCAAUCACGUGAUUGGGGUUAUCACUUCACCAUCUC